AGCCUGAAUGCCAGAGCAGCAUUGGAACCCCGUAUCAAAAGCGUCAAAUCAACCAGAAUGCUGUGAAAAUAUAAUGUACAGCUGGAAUAGAAAGUAAGUUAAGAGGAAAGCACAAAAACGUGAUGUUUCUAGAAUUAUUUCACACAGUGAUUCCAUUUUUCCCCUUCAACAAGAAGUCCAGCAUACCUACUAAAUCACAUGGAAACAGCCAGAAUCAGCACUUACCACUAGUGCCUGUAUUUAGCCAAGAAGCCUUAGUGGUGUCUUCCACAAGUUUAAAAUGGCCAUAGGAGCAACCAUUAUUCUAUCACUGUGACAGCCAGUCUGGCUAACAUCUCUCAACCAGCAGGAUGCUUACUUUUUGUCAC